UCCUACGGGAGGCAGCAGUGGGGAAUAUUGCACAAUGGGGGAAACCCUGAUGCAGCGACGCCGCGUGAGUGAAGAAGUAUUUCGGUAUGUAAAGCUCUAUCAGCAGGGAAGAAAAUGACGGUACCUGACUAAGAAGCCCCGGCUAACUACGUGCCAGCAGCCGCGGUAAUACGUAGGGGGCAAGCGUUAUCCGGAUUUACUGGGUGUAAAGGGAGCGUAGACGGUAUGGCAAGUCUGAUGUGAAAACCCGGGGCUCAACCCCGGGACUGCAUUGGAAACUGUCGGACUAGAGUGUCGGAGAGGCA
rnacentral:rRNA from 1 species